rnacentral:rRNA from 1 species
CGAGGCGGGGUAGCAAUACCCCAGUCGAGCGGCGAACGGGUGAGUAACGCGUGGGUAACCUACCUCGAGGUGGGGGAUAACCCGGGGAAACUCGGGCUAAUACCGCAUGACAUCCAAGGAUCAAAGGGGGCCGCAAGGCUCUCGCCUGGAGAGGGACCCGCGUCCGAUUAGCUAGUUGGUGAGGUAACGGCUCACCAAGGCGACGAUCGGUAGCCGGCCUGAGAGGGCGAUCGGCCACACUGGAACUGAGACACGGUCCAGACUCCUACGGGAGGCAGCAGUGGGGAAUUUUGCGCAAUGGGCGAAAGCCUGACGCAGCAACGCCGCGUGGAGGAUGAAGGUCUUCGGAUUGUAAACUCCUGUCAGCAGGGAAAAAGCGACUUGACCUAAUACGUCAGGGAGUUGAUUGUACCUGCAGAGGAAGCCCCGGCUAACUCUGUGCCAGCAGCCGCGGUAAUACAGAGGGGGCAAGCGUUAUUCGGAAUUAUUGGGCGUAAAGGGCGCGUAGGCGGCUUCGCAAGUGGAAGGUGAAAUCCCUCGGCUCAACCGAGGAACUGCCUUCCAAACUGCGUGGCUUGAGUCCGGGAGAGGUGAGUGGAAUUCCCAGUGUAGCGGUGAAAUGCGUAGAUAUUGGGAGGAACACCAGUGGCGAAGGCGGCUCACUGGACCGGAACUGACGCUGAGGCGCGAAAGCGUGGGGAGCAAACGGGAUUAGAUACCCCGG